GAUGAACGCUGGCGGCGUGCCUAAUACAUGCAAGUCGAGCGAACGGACGAGAAGCUUGCUUUUCUGAUGUUAGCGGCGGACGGGUGAGUAACACGUGGAUAACCUACCUAUAAGACUGGGAUAACUUCGGGAAACCGGAGCUAAUACCGGAUAAUAUUUUGAACCGCAUGGUUCAAAAGUGAAAGACGGUCUUGCUGUCACUUAUAGAUGGAUCCGCGCUGCAUUAGCUAGUUGGUAAGGUAACGGCUUACCAAGGCAACGAUGCAUAGCUGACCUGAGAGGGUGAUCGGCCACACUGGAACUGAGACACGGUCCAGACUCCUACGGGAGGCAGCAGUAGGGAAUCUUCCGCAAUGGGCGAAAGCCUGACGGAGCAACGCCGCGUGAGUGAUGAAGGUCUUCGGAUCGUAAAACUCUGUUAUUAGGGAAGAACAUAUGUGUAAGUAACUGUGCACAUCUUGACGGUACCUAAUCAGAAAGCCACGGCUAACUACGA
rnacentral:rRNA from 1 species